AAAUUGAAGAGUUUGAUCAUGGCUCAGAUUGAACGCUGGCGGCAGGCCUAACACAUGCAAGUCGAACGGUAACAGUAAGAAGCUUGCUUCUUUGCUGACGAGUGGCGGACGGGUGAGUAAUGUCUGGGAAACUGCCUGAUGGAGGGGGAUAACUACUGGAAACGGUAGCUAAUACCGCAUAACGUCGCAAGACCAAAGAGGGGGACCUUCGGGCCUCUUGCCAUCGGAUGUGCCCAGAUGGGAUUAGCUUGUUGGUGGGGUAACGG
rnacentral:rRNA from 1 species